AAACUGAAUGACGUCUCCUGUCUGUCAGAUGGUACCUAUGAAAACGAUGACAGGGACAGGCCUCUAUUCACUCGCUUGCCUUCUCAUGAUAAGUAGUGUCCGUUCUACCUGUGUUCCUUUGGAGUGUCUGAGGUGUGACAUAAUCCCCUCACCUGAAGUGUCUGGGAAUCACAAAGCAGAUGAGGCCAUCUGUGAACACCUGUGCUCUAACACCACCCAAUGUCUCAAUACCACUGAUGUAGAGAAUUGCAUAAAAGAUUUUGAAGUGUUUCUGAACACCAGUUAUGGGUUUGAAGUGGAGGAGGGUGAUGACCUCACAAUGGAGUGUGCCCACGACCUACCGGUGAGAGAUCAUGACCUGCUGGUGUUUGUCUGGCUGAAGGAUGGGCUUCCCCUGAAGGGCGAGAACAAUAGCACGGUCACCUUGGAGAGGAUAGGAAUAGAUACCCCUGCUGAGGGGAAAUACACCUGCACCAUCCAGAGUCCCUGUGGCAACUUCACCUCAGAUCCAGAAGAACUUGAAUUUAAAGACCUGACAGCGGUGAUCAUUGUGAUCUGUGGUGUGUCUGCGGUGGUGCUGGUCCUGGCCCUGGGCAUGGGCAUCAAGCUCAUGCUGCAGAAGGACUUUGCGAAGACCAAGACCAGGAUGCAGCAGAAUACUCAGAACCUACAGAACACCGCCAACACAACAGAGUAG
rnacentral:lncRNA from 8 species